rnacentral:rRNA from 1 species
GACGAACGCUGGCGGCGUGCUUAACACAUGCAAGUCGAACGGUAAGGCCCUUCGGGGUACACGAGUGGCGAACGGGUGAGUAACACGUGGGUGAUCUGCCAUGCACUUCGGGAUAAGCCUGGGAAACUGGGUCUAAUACCGGAUAGGACCACUGCCUGCAUGGGUGGUGGUGGAAAGCUUUUGCGGUGUGGGAUGGGCCCGCGGCCUAUCAGCUUGUUGGUGGGGUGAUGGCCUACCAAGGCGACGACGGGUAGCCGGCCUGAGAGGGUGACCGGCCACACUGGGACUGAGAUACGGCCCAGACUCCUACGGGAGGCAGCAGUGGGGAAUAUUGCACAAUGGGCGCAAGCCUGAUUCAGCGACGCCGCGUGAGGGAUGACGGCCUUCGGGUUGUAAACCUCUUUCAGCACCGACGAAGCGCAAGUGACGGUAGGUGCAGAAGAAGGACCGGCCAACUACGUGCCAGCAGCCGCGGUAA